AGGGAAAGAGGGAGGCAUGCCUUACACAUGCAAGUCGAACGGUAACAGGUUAAGCUGACGAGUGGCGAACGGGUGAGUAAUGUAUCGGAACGUGCCCAGUCGUGGGGGAUAACUGCUCGAAAGAGCAGCUAAUACCGCAUACGACCUGAGGGUGAAAGCGGGGGAUCGCAAGACCUCGCGCGAUUGGAGCGGCCGAUAUCAGAUUAGGUAGUUGGUGAGGUAAAGGCUCACCAAGCCGACGAUCUGUAGCUGGUCUGAGAGGACGACCAGCCACACUGGGACUGAGACACGGCCCAGACUCCUACGGGAGGCAGCAGUGGGGAAUUUUGGACAAUGGGCGCAAGCCUGAUCCAGCCAUGCCGCGUGCGGGAAGAAGGCCUUCGGGUUGUAAACCGCUUUUGUCAGGGAAGAAAAGGUUCUGGCUAAUACCUGGGACUCAUGACGGUACCUGAAGAAUAAGCACCGGCUAACUACGUG
rnacentral:rRNA from 1 species